rnacentral:misc_RNA from 1 species
UACGUAGGUGGCGAGCGUUGUCCGGAGUUACUGGGCGUAAAGGGGGCGCAGGCGGCCUGGCGCGUGGAUCCUGAAAUUGGCCGGCUCAACCGGCCGGGGUGGAUCCAGACGGCGAGGCUUACCAAGUCUGAGAGGCGCGGAGAGGGGCGUGGAAUUCCGGGUGGAGCGGUGAAAUGCGUAGAGAUCCGGAGGAACACCGACGGCGCAGGCAGCGCCCUGGCCGCGACCUGACGCUGAGGCCCGAAAGCUGGGGGAGCGAACAGG